UAAGAGGAAUGUUAAAGGUACUACAAUUGGACUGUGGAUAAUACCAGAGAUGGAUUAAACUAAAUUUUGAUGGAAGUUCUAUAGGUUACUAGAUGGCUAAACAAUUUAAUAAGCCACUGGUAAUUGAAAGAGAUUCGCUAAUUGUGAUAAGAUGGAUGAAAAAAGAGGUUAAAUUUCCAAGGGCUCGGCAUGCUUUGGUUAGGGAAGUGGGAGAGGUACGCUGUGAUUGGUCUGUUGUCUUUACUCACGUCUAUCGAUAAUUUAAUAUGGAGGCGGACGGUCUUGCAAAAGGUUUGACGAUGGACGAACUCAUUGAUGUAAUUUUGUAGUUUUUGUUCUUUCUUUUUUUUUUUACUUCAUGUAAACUGUUAAUUAGGUGUGCUUAUAGGCAGUAUUGGAUAUUGUAAUGAGACCUUGAUGAUAUGAAUGGCGACAGUUUCUUUAGAAAUAAAAAAUAAAAAAUGAAAAAUAAUAUUACUAUUAGUUAAAAUGUGAUGGGUUCACUUUAUUGACUUUGAUCCAAUGCUUUAAAAUUUGGGCAAGCGUUCUAUGCUUCUCCGACAGCAUGGAAAUGACAUCUUUCCCUUUAUCUAACUGUCCAUUUUGAAUGGAAGGCUAAAAUUGCCUCAAUCACAAUAUCAC
rnacentral:lncRNA from 1 species